ACAGCCCCCUGCCCCGCCGUACGGACCGAGCUCAAACAGCUUCUCUCCGAGAGCCACCCCUCAGCUCCGUUACACCGCAUUUAAAUCGGUGAACUAGGAUGAACAGAGGCUUGCACCUUCAUCACUGAGCUGCCAAGAGUGAACACCAAGGGGAUCCAGAAGCAGCACACUGACACCAGCCCCCAGCUCAGGCUACCCACUUGGACAUGAGUGCUUUCUUCUCAGACCUGACAAAGUUUCCUUGCCUCUAAAAAUGAGCACCUUUGGAAGGUUCUCAGAAGAUCAACACCCCUUUUCAUCUUUGGCUAUCCAGUUUUUCCUUCCCAAACACACAACCUCACAGGCUGGGUACAGCUUUUCAUGGUAUGAACUAAACAAAUUCUUUCUGACCAUAACAAUUUCCACACUCCUCCUACUCAAUUACAUGCAGUCUCCUUGACUCUGUGAAUUCUACUGGUUAGUUCUUAAAAGGAAGCCAAGACAGCUUUCUGAAGCCACAAAAACAUGCUCAUUUUUUCUCACUGAAUUACUUUCUUGCCAUUUCUGUCAGCUGAACUGGCAGGCCAACGGAGAUGGCAGGAAAAAAUACUAGAACUCUGCAGCUAAAUUCAACCUGGACAACAGAUGAGGCUCCAUCUGUUGGAUGAAGGAGGUACCAGGAAAAUGAGAUUUUA